AUUUUAUUUUAAUAAGGUCUGGACAUAUUUAUACUCAGUAAUAUUGUAUAGACAUAGAAAAUGUUAACCUUAAAUAAUGAGAUUCAGAAAAUAUAAUUAGUUAUAGAGUAUAUUCUAGCUCAAAGCUUGAGAAUAGCCACCUAGUAUUGCAGUGAGUUGUGAUUGUGCCCUUGUGCUCCAGAUUAGGUGACAGAGUGAGAUUUGGCAAUGGAUUCUUAGGCAUGGUGCCAAAAACAUGAACAACAAAACAAAAAAUAGAUAAAUUAGACUUCAACAAAGUUAAAAAAAAAACUUUUGCGCUUCCAAGGACACCAUCUAAAAAGUAAAAAGACAACCCUCAGAAUGGCAGAAAAUAUUUGCAAAUCAUAUAUCUGAUAAAGGACUUCCAUCCAGACUACAUAAAAACUCUUAGAAUUCAAAAAUUUUAAAAAAAUUAAAAAUGGACAAAGGAUCUGAAUAGUCCUAACCACUAGGAUGGCUAGAAUCCUACGUCUGAUACUAUCACAUGUUGGUGAGAAACACCAACACUGGAUAAAUCAGUACCUUCAUACACUACUGGUAAGAAUGUAUGAUCAUGCAGCUGCUUUGGAAAACAGUCUAGCAGUUUCUCAAAUAAUUAAAUAUGGUGUUAUCAAAUAACUCAGCAAUUCCACUGCUAGAUUUCACCCCAAAUAAAUAAAAACUUAUGUCUACAUAGCAACUUGUAUA
rnacentral:lncRNA from 1 species